UAAUGUGGCUCAGUCGGUAGAGCAGUUGAUUCGUAAUCAACAGGUCAGGGGUUCGAAUCCCCUCAUUA
rnacentral:tRNA from 2 species